GUCCCUUCCUGCCUGAGGCCUGAGUCUCCCCACGUAUCAUCAGAGAGGGUUAGAUUACAAGGUCUCUUGCCUCAGUUGCACUGUGCCCCCUGCACUGGAGCCUAGAGACUGGCCGAGUUCCAAGUCUUGUCUCUGGAAGGGCCUGCCCACUGGCAGCAGUGCAACAUUGGAAGAGGUGUGGACGGGGGCUAGUGCUGGCCUAAGGGGGCCGUUUCUGAUGGACUGGCUGUCUGCCUUUCAGGGGAAUGUGCUGAACUGUCGGAAAUGGAAUGAGGCACCAGACCCCCAACCAAGCGCCCAGUGGUGGUGAUCCAUGACCCUCCUGAGACCAGCUGAACUACAGCACGGACACAGUGGGUACACUCAGGGUGCACAGGGCCACGUCCUCUGAUUCUGACAAGGAGAACUUUGUGAUCCAUUUCCUGGGGUCCCCUGGAGGCCACGAAGGAAGGCACCAAACCCUCUUCUCCCUCCCCGCUUUUCCCCAGCACCUAUUUCCGUAUUUGCAGGGGCCGUGUUUUUGUUGUCAAUGGUAAAUGGUCCGUUUGGGUAUUAUAUUAAAUUGUUGCUUCUUUCUAA
rnacentral:lncRNA from 1 species